rnacentral:tRNA from 1 species
UGUAUUUUAGUGUAUGAUGCACUAUGAUUUUUGAAAUCAUUAGUUCAAGUUUAAUUCUUGAAUUUAC